AUUGAACGCUGGCGGCAGGCCUAACACAUGCAAGUCGAGCGAGCGGCGGACGGGUGAGUAAUGUAUGGGGACUGCCCGAUAGAGGGGGAUAACUACUGGAAACGGUGGCUAAUACCGCAUAUUGCAGGAUAAUCCCUAUGGGAUGAGCUAGUAGGUUAGGUAAUGGCUUACCUAGGCGACGAUCCCUAGCUGGUCUGAGAGGAUGAUCCGCCACAAUGGGACUGAGGCCCGGCCCAGACUCCUACGGAGGCAGCAGUGGGGAAUCUUCCGCAAUGGACGAAAGUCUGACGGAGCAACGCCGCGGGAGUGAUGACGGCCUUCGGGUUGUAAAGCUCUGUUAAUCGGGAGACGGUACCGGAAUAGAAAGCCACGGCUAACUACGUGCCAGCAGCCGCGGUAAUAC
rnacentral:rRNA from 1 species